UGCGGAUGGAUCAUUGUCGG
rnacentral:rRNA from 1 species